AACCAGUACCGUGAGGGAAAGGUGAAAAGCACCCCGGAAGGGGAGUGAAAUAGAUCCUGAAACCGUGUGCCUACAACAAGUCAAAGCUCGUUAAUGAGUGAUGGCGUGCCUUUUGUAGAAUGAACCGGCGAGUUACGAUUGCAUGCGAGGUUAAGUCGAAGAGACGGAGCCGCAGCGAAAGCGAGUCUGAAUAGGGCGAAUGAGUAUGUAGUCGUAGACCCGAAACCAUGUGAUCUACCCAUGUCCAGGUUGAAGGUGCGGUAAAACGCACUGGAGGACCGAACCCACGUACGUUGAAAAGUGCGGGGAUGAGGUGUGGGUAGCGGAGAAAUUCCAAACGAACUUGGAGAUAGCUGGUUCUCUCCGAAAUAGCUUUAGGGCUAGCCUCGGAAUUGAGAAUGAUGGAGGUAGAGCACUGUUUGGACUAGGGGCCCAUCUCGGGUUACCGAAUUCAGAUAAACUCCGAAUGCCAUUCAUUUAUAUCCGGGAGUCAGACUGCGAGUGAUAAGAUCCGUAGUCGAAAGGGAAACAGCCCAGACCACCAGCUAAGGUCCCAAAAUAUAUGUUAAGUGGAAAAGGAUGUGGGGUUGCACAGACAACUAGGAUGUUGGCUUAGAAGCAGCCACCAUUUAAAGAGUGCGUAAUAGCUCACUAGUCGAGUGACCCUGCGCCGAAAAUGUACCGGGGCUAAACAUAUUACCGAAGCUGUGGACUACACCAUUAGGUGUAGUGGUAGGAGAGCGUUCUAAGGGCGUUGAAGGUCGAUCGUGAGGACGGCUGGAGCGCUUAGAAGUGAGAAUGCCGGUAUGAGUAGCGAAAGACAGGUGAGAAUCCUGUCCACCGUAUGACUAAGGUUUCCUGGGGAAGGCUCGUCCGCCCAGGGUUAGUCGGGACCUAAGCCGAGGCCGAUAGGCGUAGGCGAUGGACAACAGGUUGAUAUUCCUGUACCAGUUGUUUUUGUUUGAGCAAUGGAGGGACGCAGUAGGCUAAGGAAUGCAUGCGAUUGGAAGUGCAUGUCCAAGCAAUGAGUCUUGAGUAGAGUUAAAUGCUUUACUCUUUAAGGACAAGUUGUGACGGGGAGCGAAAUAAUAGUAGCGAAGUUCCUGAUGUCACACUGCCAAGAAAAGCUUCUAGUGAGAAAACAACUGCCCGUACCGUAAACCGACACAGGUAGUCGAGGAGAGUAUCCUAAGGUGAGCGAGCGAACUCUCGUUAAGGAACUCGGCAAAAUGACCCCGUAACUUCGGGAGAAGGGGUGCUGACUUCGGUCAGCCGCAGUGAAUAGGCCCAAGCGACUGUUUAUCAAAAACACAGGUCUCUGCAAAAUCGUAAGAUGAAGUAUAGGGGCUGACGCCUGCCCGGUGCUGGAAGGUUAAGAGGAUGGGUUAGCUUCGGCGAAGCUCAGAAUUGAAGCCCCAGUAAACGGCGGCCGUAACUAUAACGGUCCUAAGGUAGCGAAAUUCCUUGUCGGGUAAGUUCCGACCCGCACGAAAGGCGUAACGAUUUGGGCACUGUCUCAACGAGAGACUCGGUGAAAUUUUAGUACCUGUGAAGAUGCAGGUUACCCGCGACAGGACGGAAAGACCCCAUGGAGCUUUACUGUAGUUUGAUAUUGAGUGUUUGUACCACAUGUACAGGAUAGGUAGGAGCCGAUGAGACCGGAACGCUAGUUUCGGAGGAGGCGCUGGUGGGAUACUACCCUUGUGUUAUGAA
rnacentral:rRNA from 1 species